CGCUAGCGGCAGGCUCUAAUACAUGCAAGUUGAACGGGAUUCAUUUGGAAGUAGCAAUAUGGAAGAUUGAUGAGAGUAGCGCACGGGUGCGUAACACGUAUGCAACCUACCUUUAACCGGGACAUAACCACGAGAAAUUGUAGCUAAUAUCCCAUGUGAUUGAUUUAUGGCAUCAUAGAUUAAUUAAAAUUCAGAUGGUUAAAGAUGGGCAUGCGUCCCAUUAGCUAGUUGGUGAGGUAACGGCUCACCAAGGCCACGAUGGGUAGGGGUUCUGAGAGGAUGAUCCCCCACACUGGUACUGAGACACGGACCAGACUCCUACGGGAGGCAGCAGUAAGGAAUAUUGGUCAAUGGACGCAAGUCUGAACCAGCCAUGCCGCGUGCAGGAAGACGGCCCUAUGGGUUGUAAACUGCUUUUGUACGGGAAGAACUACAUUUACGUGUAAAUGUUUGACGGUACCGUAAGAAUAAGGAUCGGCUAACUCCGUGCCAGCAGCCG
rnacentral:rRNA from 1 species